rnacentral:rRNA from 1 species
UACAGAGGGGGCAAGCGUUGUUCGGAAUUACUGGGCGUAAAGGGCGCGUAGGCGGCCUUCUAAGUCGAACGUGAAAUCCCUGGGCUCAACCCAGGAACUGCGUCCGAUACUGGAAGGCUUGAAUCCGGGAGAGGGAUGCGGAAUUCCAGGUGUAGCGGUGAAAUGCGUAGAUAUCUGGAGGAACACCGGUGGGGAAGGCGGAAUCCUGGACCGGUAUUGACGCUGAGGCGCGAAAGCCAGGGGAGCAAACGGG